GAUGAACGCUGGCGGCGUGCCUAACACAUGCAAGUCGAACGAAGCACCUUACCUGAUUCUUCGGAUGAAAGUUUGGUGACUGAGUGGCGGACGGGUGAGUAACGCGUGGGUAACCUGCCCUGUACAGGGGGAUAACAGCUGGAAACGGCUGCUAAUACCGCAUAAGCGCACGAGGAGACAUCUCCUUGUGUGAAAAACUCCGGUGGUACAGGAUGGGCCCGCGUCUGAUUAGCUGGUUGGCAGGGUAACGGCCUACCAAGGCAACGAUCAGUAGCCGGUCUGAGAGGAUGAACGGCCACAUUGGAACUGAGACACGGUCCAAACUCCUACGGGAGGCAGCAGUGGGGAAUAUUGCACAAUGGGGGAAACCCUGAUGCAGCAACGCCGCGUGAGUGAAGAAGUAUUUCGGUAUGUAAAGCUCUAUCAGCAGGGAAGAUAAUGACGGGACCUGACUAAGAAGCUCCGGCUAAAUACGU
rnacentral:rRNA from 1 species